rnacentral:rRNA from 1 species
GACGAACGCUGGCGGCGUGCUUAACACAUGCAAGUCGAACGGAAAGGCCCUGCUUUUGUGGGGUGCUCGAGUGGCGAACGGGUGAGUAACACGUGAGUAACCUGCCCUUGACUUUGGGAUAACUUCAGGAAACUGGGGCUAAUACCGGAUAGGAGCUCCUGCUGCAUGGUGGGGGUUGGAAAGUUUCGGCGGUUGGGGAUGGACUCGCGGCUUAUCAGCUUGUUGGUGGGGUAGUGGCUUACCAAGGCUUUGACGGGUAGCCGGCCUGAGAGGGUGACCGGCCACAGUGGGACUGAGAUAGGGCCCAGACUCUUACGGGAGGCAGCAGUGGGGAAUAAUGCACAAUGGGCGGAAGCCUGAUGCAGCAACGCCGCGUGAGGGAUGACGGCCGUCGGGUUGUAAACCGCUUUCGCCUGUGACGAAGCGUGAGUGACGGUAAUGGGUAAAGAAGCACCGGCUAACUACGUG